UACGUAUGGUGCAAGCGUUAUCCGGAUUUACUGGGUGUAAAGGGAGCGUAGACGGCGCGUUAAGUCUGAUGUGAAAACCCGAGGCUCAACCACGGGAGUGCAUUGGAAACUGGCGGGCUGGAGUGCCGGAGAGGUAAGCGGAAUUCCUAGUGUAGCGGUGAAAUGCGUAGAUAUUAGGAGGAACACCAGUGGCGAAGGCGGCUUACUGGACGGCAACUGACGCUGAGGCUCGAAAGCGUGGGGAGCAAACAGG
rnacentral:rRNA from 1 species